rnacentral:rRNA from 1 species
ACGAACGCUGGCGGCGUGCUUAACACAUGCAAGUCGAACGGAAAGGCCCCCAUCUUGGUGGGGGUGCUCGAGUGGCGAACGGGUGAGUAACACGUGGGUGAUCUGCCCUGUACUUCGGGAUAAGCUUGGGAAACUGGGUCUAAUACCGGAUAGGACCAUGGUUUAGUGUCUCAUGGUGGAAAGAUUAUUGUUUUGGUGCAGGAUGAGCUCGCGGCCUAUCAGCUUGUUGGUGGGGUAAUGGCCUACCAAGGCGUCGACGGGUAGCCGGCCUGAGAGGGUGGACGGCCACAUUGGGACUGAGAUACGGCCCAGACUCCUACGGGAGGCAGCAGUGGGGAAUAUUGCACAAUGGGCGCAAGCCUGAUGCAGCGACGCCGCGUGGGGGAUGACGGCCGUCGGGUUGUAAACUCCUUUCGUUAGGGACGAAGCCGCACUUUUUUUGGGUGUGGUGACGGUACCUUUGUUAAGAAGCACCGGCUAACUACGUG